CCUACGGGAGGCAGCAGUGAGGAAUAUUGGUCAAUGGACGAGAGUCUGAACCAGCCAAGUAGCGUGAAGGAUGACUGCCCUAUGGGUUGUAAACUUCUUUUAUAUGGGAAUAAAAUGGUCCACGUGUGGGAUUUUGUAUGUACUAUAUGAAUAAGGAUCGGCUAACUCCGUGUCAGCAGCCGCGGUAAUACGGAGGGUCCGAGCGUUAUCCGGAUUUAUUGGGUUUAAGGGGAGCGUAGGUGGAUUGUUAAGUCAGUUGUGAAAGUUUGCGGCUCAACCGUAAAAUUGCAGUUGAGACUGGCAGUGUUGCGUACAGUAGAGGUAGGCGGAAUUCGUGGUGUAGCGGUGAAAUGCUUAGAUAUCACGAAGAACUCCGAUUGCGAAGGCAGCUCACUGAACUGCAACUGACACUGAGGCUCGAAAGUGUGGGUAUCAAACAGGAUUAGAUACCCGGGUAGUC
rnacentral:rRNA from 1 species